AACGCUGGCGGCGUGCCUAACACAUGCAAGUCGAGCGAGUAAAUCUCCUUCGGGAGUGAAGCUAGCGGCGGACGGGUGAGUAACACGUGGGCAACCUGCCUCAUAGAGGGGAAUAGCCUUCCGAAAGGAAGAUUAAUACCGCAUAAGAUUGUAGCUUCGCAUGAAGUAGCAAUUAAAGGAGCAAUCCGCUAUGAGAUGGGCCCGCGGCGCAUUAGCUAGUUGGUGAGGUAACGGCUCACCAAGGCGACGAUGCGUAGCCGACCUGAGAGGGUGAUCGGCCACAUUGGGACUGAGACACGGCCCAGACUCCUACGGGAGGCAGCAGUGGGGAAUAUUGCACAAUGGGGAAACCCUGAUGCAGCAACGCCGCGUGAGUGAUGACGGCCUUCGGGUUGUAAAGCUCUGUCUUCAGGGACGAUAAUGACGGUACCUGAGGAGGAAGCCACGGCUAACUACGUG
rnacentral:rRNA from 1 species